AACGAACGCUGGCGGCAUGCCUAACACAUGCAAGUCGAACGAGACCUUCGGGUCUAGUGGCGCACGGGUGCGUAACGCGUGGGAACCUGCCCUUAGGUUCGGAAUAACUCCCCGAAAGGGGUGCUAAUACCGGAUAAUGUCUUCGGACCAAAGAUUUAUCGCCUUUGGAUGGGCCCGCGUUGGAUUAGCUAGUUGGUAGGGUAAAAGCCUACCAAGGCGACGAUCCAUAGCUGGUCUGAGAGGAUGAUCAGCCACACUGGGACUGAGACACGGCCCAGACUCCUACGGGAGGCAGCAGUGGGGAAUAUUAGACAAUGGGCGAAAGCCUGAGCCAGCAAUGCCGUGUGAGUGUUGAAGGCCUUAGGGUUGUAAAGCUCUUUUACCCGGGAUGAUAAUGACAGUACCGGGAGAAUAAGCUCCGGCUAACUCCGUG
rnacentral:rRNA from 1 species